rnacentral:rRNA from 1 species
AUUGAACGCUGGCGGCAUGCCUUACACAUGCAAGUCGAACGGCAGCACGGGAGCUUGCUCCUGGUGGCGAGUGGCGAACGGGUGAGUAAUACAUCGGAACGUACCCAGUAGUGGGGGAUAACGCACCGAAAGGUGCGCUAAUACCGCAUACGACCUAAGGGUGAAAGCGGGGGACCGUAAGGCCUCGCGCUAUUCGAGCGGCCGAUGUCUGAUUAGCUAGUUGGCGGGGUAAAGGCCCACCAAGGCGACGGUCAGUAGCUGGUCUGAGAGGACGCUCAGCCACACUGGGAGUGAGACACGGCCCCGACUCCUACAGGAGGCCGCAGUGGGGAAUUUUGGACAAUGGGGGCAACCCUGAUCCAGCAAUGCCGCGUGUGCGAAGAAGGCCUUCGGGUUGUAAAGCACUUUUGUCAGGGAAGAAAUCUUUUGGGCUAAUACCCCGGAAGGAUGACGGUACCUGAAGAAUAAGCACCGGCUAACUACGUGCCAGCAGCCGCGGUAA